UCGGAUAUGGUGUAAUGGUUAACAUUACCGCCUCUCAUCAGUGGGUUCGCGGUAGCUCGGGGUUCGAUUCCCCGUAUCCGAA